rnacentral:tRNA from 2 species
UCCCUCGUAGCUCAAGGGCAGAGCGGCCGACUGUUAAUCGGCUGAUCUUGGUUCGAGUCCAGGCGGGGGAG